CCCACGGUGCUUAGAAAGAUAGA
rnacentral:piRNA from 1 species